UUUCUUCAUUGUUAUGGUUUUGUCUGCUUUAUUGCAACUAAACAAAGAAAGUUUCCUCUCAGUAGUAAGUGAAGAGGAAACCACAACACUGAGCCACGGACACAGAGGAAGGAGGAGGGUUUUUCUAGAUGUGACUAAACUGAUCAAAGAGUUUUUUUAGGUUUAAUAUCAGCAAGUCUUAUGAUGGAGGAAACAUCUCUACUGCUGCUGCUCUUUGUGAGUUCACUGCUGUGCUGCACAACAAAUCAAGCUAACCUGACUGUGAGUUCCAGCAGCUCUCAGAUGUUUAAAGGAGGGUUUGUCUAUCUGAGCUGUGAGGAGGACGACAGCUCUGCGGGAUGGACGCUGAGGAGGAACACAACCACAGAAACCAGAGCUGAGUGUGGCGUUAAAUGGGGAAAAUCAACUGGUUCUUCUUGUAUCAUCAGCUACAUCCAAAGAGCGGACAGUGGAGUUUACUGGUGUGAGUCCAGAGAGGGAGCAACCAGUAACAGCAUCAACAUCACUGUCGCUGGUGGAUCAGUGAUCCUGCAGAGUCCUGUCCUCCCUGUGAUGGAAGGAGAUGAUGUCACUCUGCACUGUAAAACAGAGACCUCCAACCUCCUCCUAGCUGACUUCUAUAAAGAUGGCUCCCUCAUCAGGACUGAGCCUGCAGGUCACAUGACCAUCCAUCAUGUUUCUAAGUCUGAUGAAGGCCUCUACACGUGUCAUGUCAGCAGUCAUGGAGAGUCUCCACCCAGCUGGAUGACUGUCGCAAGUAAACCUACAACCACAGCCCCACCCCCUGCCUCAGCUCCCCUCCAGCUUGUCUUCAUACUGGCCUACCACCUAAUGGUGUUCUGUCCGUACUUCAUCUCCACUCUCAUCAUGGUGUCAUCAUAUCGACAUAGGCCCACAGGGAAUGACCUACCUGUCCCCAUGGCAAUACCCCUGCCCAACCAGACUGCAGAGGGAUUGGCUGAGGAAUAUGAUGGCAUCAUGGCAGUCACCACUGAACAUCACUUCUGAGCUGAACACAUCAGAGACAGUUUACAGUGACAGUAGUGAACUUUUCUGUGUGUUUGAUUGACAACAGCUGGCAGCCUACCAGUGGUACACCACACAGAACAAAGACAAAGUAAACUAAUUGCUGUAGCUAGAUCAUCGACAGACUGUGUUGUUAGCAGUGGUGUUGAAGAGAACCAGCAUCUAACGAGUCUGAAGUGACAUUUGCAGUCCACCAGCACUCCCACCAUUCAACGGCUGCUGGAGACGGGAGACUGUCAUGUCCUCACACAGACAGCUGCUCCGAUGACUUCCUCCUGUCCUGUACAUGAGCACCACCGACGCCCCCUGCUGACUGCUGACUGUCAUCUACAGAGCCAGCGCUGUGUAUGAACCCUGGAUUUUUUUUAUAACUAGCUGACCGUGAGGAGAUAUUUUGCUGAAUUUGACAAAAAGUGUGCUGGAUUAAAUUCUCUGACUUUACCUUUAAAUAUUUUGAAACAAACUCAGGCAAAGUUUAAAGGUAAAAGAGCAGAAAUGUUUUACUGAAGGUAAACUCAACUCAUACAGUAACCAGCUGCUGAUCUGUCACACACACACACACAGUCCCUGUCAUAACAGACGACCAUAUGGCCUUCAGACGUCUGUCACCAACCAGCUGUGUGUGUGUGUGUGUGUGUGUGUGUGUGUGUGUGUGUGUGUGUG